GACGAACGCUGGCGGCGUGCUUAACACAUGCAAGUCGAACGGAAAGGCCCUGCUUUUGUGGGGUGCUCGAGUGGCGAACGGGUGAGUAACACGUGAGUAACCUGCCCUUGACUUUGGGAUAACUUCAGGAAACUGGGGCUAAUACCGGAUAGGAGCUCCUGCUGCAUGGUGGGGGUUGGAAAGUUUCGGCGGUUGGGGAUGGACUCGCGGCUUAUCAGCUUGUUGGUGGGGUAGUGGCUUACCAAGGCUUUGACGGGUAGCCGGCCUGAGAGGGUGACCGGCCACAUUGGGACUGCGAUACGGCCCAGACUCCUACGGGAGGCAGCAGUGGGGAAUAUUGCACAAUGGGCAGAAGCCUGAUGCAGCAACGCCGCGUGCGGGAUGACGGCCUUCGGGUUGUAAACCGCUUUCGCCUGUGACGAAGCGUGAGUGACGGUAAUGGGUAAAGAAGCACCGGCUAACUACGUG
rnacentral:rRNA from 1 species